ACAAAAUUUUCUUGAAUCGCGUUACUCAUACAAUUUAUUUAAUACACGGUAAUACUGAUCCACUUUCGUUAAAUUUACUACGACUACGACGGCGGCGGCGGCAAAUGUUAUUACCUAUAUCGCAGAUCCUUGGUAUGUUUCGGAGACGCGUCAAAAUAUAUCAUUAGAACGGCCACCAGAGACAAGGGGUUACGAGAAGUAAAUUCAAUAAUCCUCGUCGUUUUUAAUAUCGUGCCCUGCUGCGAUAUACGUGCGGGGAAUCAUUUA